rnacentral:rRNA from 1 species
UUUUAUGAGAGUUUGAUCCUGGCUCAGGACGAACGCUGGCGGCGUGCCUAAUACAUGCAAGUCGUACGCUUCUUUUUCCACCGGAGCUUGCUCCACCGGAAAAAGAAGAGUGGCGAACGGGUGAGUAACACGUGGGUAACCUGCCCAUCAGAAGGGGAUAACACUUGGAAACAGGUGCUAAUACCGUAUAACAAUCGAAACCGCAUGGUUUUGAUUUGAAAGGCGCUUUCGGGUGUCGCUGAUGGAUGGACCCGCGGUGCAUUAGCUAGUUGGUGAGGUAACGGCUCACCAAGGCCACGAUGCAUAGCCGACCUGAGAGGGUGAUCGGCCACAUUGGGACUGAGACACGGCCCAAACUCCUACGGGAGGCAGCAGUAGGGAAUCUUCGGCAAUGGACGAAAGUCUGACCGAGCAACGCCGCGUGAGUGAAGAAGGUUUUCGGAUCGUAAAACUCUGUUGUUAGAGAAGAACAAGGAUGAGAGUAACUGUUCAUCCCUUGACGGUAUCUAACCAGAAAGCCACGGCUAACUACGUGCCAGCAGCCGCGGUAAUACGUAGGUGGCAAGCGUUGUCCGGAUUUAUUGGGCGUAAAGCGAGCGCAGGCGGUUUCUUAAGUCUGAUGUGAAAGCCCCCGGCUCAACCGGGGAGGGUCAUUGGAAACUGGGAGACUUGAGUGCAGAAGAGGAGAGUGGAAUUCCAUGUGUAGCGGUGAAAUGCGUAGAUAUAUGGAGGAACACCAGUGGCGAAGGCGGCUCUCUGGUCUGUAACUGACGCUGAGGC